AGAGAAGAGUGAUUACAGACGUCAUCACAGCGUAGUAUGGCAUGGCCGUGAGGUCAGUACUUGAGGCAUCAAAGUAAAGUGCAAUGCCACUACCGCCAGGGCUGGAGUGUGGAACAGUGAUAGGAUGCCAUGAAUGUUUGUCAGCUGUCCUUAAUUAUGACUGGGGUCGAGUCCGAAGACGAGGCAGGUCGGGAGGAGCUCAUCUCAGGUCAGAUGAUGUCCAUAAAGGGGGACAGAGACACGGGGAGAGAAAGGCCAUUGCAUGGUAGGCCACAUACGAUACGGGGCUUUUAUGCCUUUAUUUUGACAGGACAGUCGAAGAUGGUGACAGGAAGCGAAUGGGACAGAGAGACAGGGGAAGAUUGGGAAAUGACCCCGGCCGGACUCCCCAUGGGUGGGCAUGCAAGCCCAAAUGUGGGGGGCUUAGCACGCUGCGCCACAGCGCCACCCCCUUAACCUACUUUUAAAAAACCUCUUUCUUCUGUUUGAGAACUGUCUGACUCCCUGAGGAAGGCUAGAGGACCGAAACAUGUUGGAGUUUUUUAAAGGUUUCUGUAACCAAGCCAUGUAAUAAAAGGUUUUUUUUAUUUUUGAUAGAGGAGAGUUCUUGAUGAAGGUAUAGUACCGAAACGUCGUUUAUUAAAGAAAGAA